rnacentral:rRNA from 1 species
UACGUAGGGGGCAAGCGUUGUCCGGAAUCAUUGGGCGUAAAGCGCGUGUAGGCGGUCCGGUAAGUCGGCUGUGAAAGUCCAGGGCUCAACCCUGGGAUGCCGGUCGAUACUGCCGGACUAGAGUUCGGAAGAGGCGAGUGGAAUUCCCGGUGUAGCGGUGUAAUGCGCAGAUAUCGGGAGGAACACCAAUGGCGAAGGCAGCUCGCUGGGACGUUACUGACGCUGAGACGCGAAAGCGUGGGGAGCAAACAGG